rnacentral:rRNA from 1 species
GAUAAACGCUGGCGGCGUGCCUAAUACAUGCAAGUCGAGCGAACGGACGAGAAGCUUGCUUCUCUGAUGUUAGCGGCGGACGGGUGAGUAACACGUGGAUAACCUACCUAUAAGACUGGGAUAACUUCGGGAAACCGGAGCUAAUACCGGAUAAUAUUUUGAACCGCAUGGUUCAAAAGUGAAAGACGGUCUUGCUGUCACUUAUAGAUGGAUCCGCGCUGCAUUAGCUAGUUGGUAAGGUAACGGCUUACCAAGGCAACGAUGCAUAGCCGACCUGAGAGGGUGAUCGGCCACACUGGAACUGAGACACGGUCCAGACUCCUACGGGAGGCAGCAGUAGGGAAUCUUCCGCAAUGGGCGAAAGCCUGACGGAGCAACGCCGCGUGAGUGAUGAAGGUCUUCGGAUCGUAAAACUCUGUUAUUAGGGAAGAACAUAUGUGUAAGUAACUGUGCACAUCUUGACGGUACCUAAUCAGAAAGCCACGGCUAACUACGUGCCAGCAGCCGCGGUAAUACGUAGGUGGCAAGCGUUAUCCGGAAUUAUUGGGCGUAAAGCGCGCGUAGGCGGUUUUCUAAGUCUGAUGUGAAAGCCCACGGCUCAACCGUGGAGGGUCAUUGGAAACUGGAAAACUUGAGUGCAGAAGAGGAAAGUGGAAUUCCAUGUGUAGCGGUGAAAUGCGCAGAGAUAUGGAGGAACACCAGUGGCGAAGGCGACUUUCUGGUCUGUAACUGACGCUGAUGUGCGAAAGCGUGGGGAUCAAACAGGAUUAGAUACCCUGGUAGUCCACGCCGUAAACGAUGAGUGCUAAGUGUUAGGGGGUUUCCGCCCCUUAGUGCUGCAGCUAACGCAUUAAGCACUCCGCCUGGGGAGUACGACCGCAAGGUUGAAACUCAAAGGAAUUGACGGGGACCCGCACAAGCGGCGGAGCAUGUGGUUUAAUUCGAAGCAACGCGAAGAACCUUACCAAAUCUUGACAUCCUUUGACAACUCUAGAGAUAGAGCCUUCCCCUUCGGGGGACAAAGUGACAGGUGGUGCAUGGUUGUCAUCAGCUCGUGUCGUGAGAUGUUGGGUUAAGUCCCGCAACGAGCGCAACCCUUAAGCUUAGUUGCCAUCAUUAAGUUGGGCACUCUAAGUUGACUGCCGGUGACAAACCGGAGGAAGGUGGGGAUGACGUCAAAUCAUCAUGCCCCUUAUGAUUUGGGCUACACACGUGCUACAAUGGACAAUACAAAGGGCAGCGAAACCGCGAGGUCAAGCAAAUCCCAUAAAGUUGUUCUCAGUUCGGAUUGUAGUCUGCAACUCGACUACAUGAAGCUGGAAUCGCUAGUAAUCGUAGAUCAGCAUGCUACGGUGAAUACGUUCCCGGGUCU